CUACGGGCGGCUCCAGUGGGGAAUAUUGUACAAUGGAGGAAACUCUGAUGCAGCAACGCCGCGUGGAGGAUGACACUUUUCGGAGCGUAAACUCCUUUUAUAUAGGAAGAAGAUGACGGUACUAUAUGAAUAAGCGCCGGCUAACUCCGUGCCAGCAGCCGCGGUAAUACGGAGGGCGCAAGCGUUACUCGGAAUCACUGGGCGUAAAGAGCGUGUAGGCGGAUUAAAAAGUCAGAAGUGAAAUCCUAUAGCUUAACUAUAGAACUGCUUCUGAAACUCUUAAUCUAGAAUAUGGGAGAGGUAGAUGGAAUUUCUGGUGUAGGGGUAAAAUCCGUAGAGAUCAGAAGGAAUACCGAUUGCGAAGGCGAUCUACUAGAACAUUAUUGACGCUGAGACGCGAAAGCGUGGGGAACAAACAGGAUUAGAUACCCUCGUAGUC
rnacentral:rRNA from 1 species